UACGGAGGGGGCUAGCGUUGUUCGGAAUUACUGGGCGUAAAGCGCACGUAGGCGGCUUUUGUAAGUUAGAGGUGAAAGCCCGGGGCUCAACUCCGGAAUUGCCUUUAAGACUGCAUCGCUAGAAUUGUGGAGAGGUAAGUGGAAUUCCGAGUGUAGAGGUGAAAAUUCGUAGAUAUUCGGAAGAACACUAGUGGCGAAGGCGACUUACUGGACACAUAUUGACGCUG
rnacentral:rRNA from 1 species